GAUGAACGCUGGCGGCGUGCCUAAUACAUGCAAGUCGAGCGAACAGAUGAGGAGCUUGCUCCUCUGACGUUAGCGGCGGACGGGUGAGUAACACGUGGAUAACCUACCUAUAAGACUGGGAUAACUUCGGGAAACCGGAGCUAAUACCGGAUAAUAUAUUGAACCGCAUGGUUCAAUAGUGAAAGACGGUUUUGCUGUCACUUAUAGAUGGAUCCGCGCCGCAUUAGCUAGUUGGUAAGGUAACGGCUUACCAAGGCAACGAUGCGUAGCCGACCUGAGAGGGUGAUCGGCCACACUGGAACUGAGACACGGUCCAGACUCCUACGGGAGGCAGCAGUAGGGAAUCUUCCGCAGUGGGCGAAAGCCUGACGGAGCAACGCCGCGUGAGUGAUGAAGGUCUUCGGAUCGUAAAACUCUGUUAUUGGGGAAGAACAAAUGUGUAAGUAACUAUGCACGUCUUGACGGUACCUAAUCAGAAAGCCACGGCUAACUACGUG
rnacentral:rRNA from 1 species